CCCAGCUGUAGGCAGCUGCCUAGGUUGAACAUUGUACCUAGGCAUGUGUUACACUGCUGGGAGAACAGCAGCCAAUAGCUGGUUGGCAUUCUGGGCCUGGUUCAUGCCAACUCU
rnacentral:snoRNA from 1 species